CAUGAAGCCGGAAUCGCUAGUAAUCGCGGAUCAGAAUGCUGCGGUGAAUACGUUCCCGGGUCUUGUACACACCGCCCGUCACACCAUGGGAGUUGGAAAUGCCCGAAGUCAGUGGCCCAACCGGAAGGGGGGAGCUGCCGAAGGCAGGUUCGAUGACUGGGGUGAAGUCGUAACAAGGUACC
rnacentral:rRNA from 1 species